UCAACUCAAGCUCCAAAGUCCUGUUUUUCUCUUACUCUAAGAGAAGAGCUUCUUCAAGUUUAGUGACCUUUGCAGCCAAAAUUUUUGUAUCCUCUUGUUCAGCCUCACGACCUUGGUGUUGAAAACGAUCCGGUGGCUUGCGGUCGAUGUGUCGGUUAAAAUUAUUUCUUCCUGAACCAUAUUUCAUAUGUUUCUUUUGUGAAUCCAAAAAAAUAUUGCCAUCACUUCCUUCGCAGAUACGUACGAGUUCUGGUUUUGGACCAUCCAUGUGAGCCUCUCUUUGGUUGGACUUACUGCUCUUCCAAAAAUAAUUAUCACUUUGGCCAACUAUUGCCAUCAUCGUUUGAAAGAGAGGAGAAAUAUCCUUGAGAUUAAAGUCAGACAAUGUGUCCAUUUUCGACGAACAUACACUUUGAUUAUGAUGGACAUUAUUCUAAGGAUGGAGAUGAUUAUGAAUGGAUUCCAACCGAUGCUCGUUUGUAUGCUAUAUCCUUUAAUACAUCAUCGUUGGAGGAGAUCACUUAUUCGUUGUUGAAAGAGAGGAUAUGCAGGAAGAUCGGAAUAGAUCCGUUUACGAAGAGGCUCAAUUUGGUUUACAUUCCAUUGGUAGUGGAACCUAAGAGGCAAUCGUAUAUUUUGGAUGAUGAAGAUGUGUUUGUUUAUCUAACAUCAGUGGAUAGAGAGGAAAGGAGAAGUAUUUUGCAUGUGGAGGACAUCGAAGAAUUACAAAUAGUUCAAAUAACCGAGCAACUGUCGAGAGUUGGAGAGAGCUCUUGUAGUAGGAACUAUUGUGAGCGUGAGAGUGGAUAUGGAGAAGAAGAAAAUGUGGGAACAGGUUUGGAGGACGAUGAACAUCCCCACAAGAAACAGAAGAAGAGUAUGUUGUAAACCUUUCGGUUUUAGUUUUGAUGUAAAUUAGGUUCUAAAUUAAGUUCUAAGCCUUUCACUUUCUGUUUUGAUGUUUGCCUUUCACUUUCGGUUUUGGUGUUUUUAUCAUAUGGGAACGUUGUGCGGUGAAAUAAAUUUUAUUUGUGUGUUGUAUAACUAAGUGAAACUGGUAUAACUACGUUAUGUAAACUGAAUAACAUGAUUGUAAAUUCUAAAGUUUUUAAUUUAAUUUUAUAAGUCAUGGAAGUAGUACGCUUUUAGUUUAUUAGUAGUGUUAUGUUAAUUAUGAUUUAAUAAGAAUUAUUAAAAUUAUUAAAAUUAGUAAAAUUCCAUCUCAUUGCUCGUAGCAAUCGUAUAGGAAAUACAAUGUGUUGUCAUAGCUUUAUCGCUGAAACUGACUGAGUUAGAUUUGAUAACUCUAUGGCACGAAAUCAAGUUUAAUGUACGUGAUCGUAUGGGAAAUGAACUUAGGAAACAUAAUUGCAUUGGUAUAACCACAAAAUCAUUAAUUUAAGUAGAGUAUAACUAAGAUAAAUAGAAAUAAUUAAAAAGUGCAACUUUGAAGCUUUCUGUAAAACUGAGUACUUGGUGAAACUUACAACAGAAAAAACCCUGGGAUUAAUUUUCCCGCUCAGCUUUUCGAAUUUCUAAUUUCCCUCUUCCCAAUUUACUAAAACCCCAGAAUCGUUCAAUCGAAGUAUUAAACACCCUUUUUUAGGUUUUCCCCAUUUGCUAUCUUCAUUUUCUCUCUCUUCCCUAAAUCUCUCUCCUCUCUCUCCUCGACCUCACUCCCUCCCCUCCCAAAAACCUAGAUGUCCGCCGCUUCAUCAUCCACGACCGGUGGUCGGAGACGGGUACGAACUCCGGGGAUACCUAGUAGGUGUUGGUGCGGGGUGGGCGUCACCGAGCUCAUCUCCAGAAGCUCGGCAAACCCAUAUCGCCGGUAUUAUCGGUGUCUCUCUGUGGCUUCACAGAGGGUACAUCCGUUUGUUGUUUACAUAUGGAACGCUUAUGAAUCACGCUUACUCGUUUUGAAAAAAAAUCAUGUAGCUCGAGAACGACAAUCAUGUCUUCAAAUGGGUUGAUGAAGCCUUCACCGAUGAGAUACAGCAGCUGGACUACCAAGUUCGAAUACUCGAAGAAGAAGUUCAGAGUCUCAAAGCAACAAUAAGGAACGAAGGAGAUAUCCGCGAAGGUCCCAAAAAGAUGCCCAUGAUAAAGAUAUCAGGAGGUUGUGUUCUUCUUACCAUCGUUUUAGUUUUAGGAAUUAUGAUGUACAAAAAGUAAUUGAAAUUCCUAAGAGAAUUCCAAUUCCUAGAACUAACUGUUAUUGCUAAGCUAUGUUUUUUUAAGUUAUGCGAAGUUGAACAAUCGCUGUUUGAUCUAUCGAAAAAGUAACUGUUAUUGCUAAGCUAUGUUUUUCUAAGUUAUGCGAAGUUGAACAACCAUGGGGUUUGAAACAAGUAAGCGUGAAACCAAAAGUUGAAACAAGUGAGAUUGAGUGAAACCAAAAGUUGGAACAAGGGAUUAAGUGAAACCAAAAGUUGAAACAAGUGAGAUUGAGUGAAACCAAAAGUUCAAACGAUUAAGUGAAACAAGUUGAAACAACGAAAUUUUCACAAGACCAUAACAGUGAGAACAACACGAUUUACACAAGACCUUCAAUCCCAUAUUUUUGAACAUAAGGGUCGCUGUUUAGUAGAGACUGCCUGAAGUCCUCAACCUCGGUCAAACGCGGAUUGAACCUGAAGUCUGAAAGUCCACCUUCGGUCUCAAGCCAUAGAUCAGGAGGAUCAAAUAAAUAUGUAUUAAUGUAAAUGAUUUUAGUAAACGUUUUAGUCCACUAUCAUAUUCAAAACUAGCCACAGAAACUACACUUACUCCAACACUUGCAGACCUUCCACAUCUUAAGGGCCACAAUCACCUGUCCACCUUCCACAUUUUCAAGACCAUCCCGGAAGGCAUAGGCCUGCUUGCCAGUUGCCACACAUUUAAUCUGGCUGUCACUAUUCAGAAUAAAUAAAACGUGUGUCAAUUACAAUAUAAAUAAAUUUUGCUUGGAUCAUAUGUUACUUUCUACUUACAUGUUGUCCCUUAUGUAAAAAAUCAUCGUUGGUCUUGCAGGGUCAUCGAAACGGGCUUCCGUAUUGAAGACCACUCCAAUUGUAUCUACCAUAUAAGUGUAACUCAACUAAAUCAGUUCGUUUCACUUAGUUUCACUUACAUCUACAGAGUCAUACAAAGUUCUGAAACUAAAUAUGUGACUAUAUGUGAAUAUAUUUAUUUUAGCAGCAUUCGUACCUAUGGGAUAGUUUCGUUCCCUGUGGGACAUGUGAGGGAUUGCAUGGAUGUUCUUGAAGUCCAUGAAAAGCCGAUUGUUCAGAGGAUCGAUCAUGCGGACUUGUGUGAGUCGCGAAGCAGUUAGUCUGAACCGAGAGUUAGUUGCAUUGAAACCUACAUAGGAACGUUCAACUCCUACCCGAAAGAUUUCCACCCAUUCUCCCUCCUUGUUUUCGAGGCCUCUAAAACUUUCAUAAUCUUCAUAAACGGUCAUCUCCAUCUUGCACUCCUACAUAAAUAAAGUACAAGGAUCAAGUUAAAUGAUGAUGAAAAACUUGAGAGAUGAUGAAAAACUUGAGAGAUGAUGAAAAAACACUUACAUCUUCAUCUGCUAGGACAUAGGAAUAGAAAGGCAUAACCCUAUUGGUAACCGAGGAAUAGAGAGGGUAGACCCUGUGUACUUUGACUCUGAAACGCCAAGCCUUGACGUCGGGGUUAUAAGAAGCCUCGGAAAUCUGGGAAAGCUUAUUGUAGUAGUCUGUCAUCUUGUUUGUAGAGAUGAGAGAAUUUCACUCAGAGAUGAAAGAAGAGAAGAUAGAACUCGGAUAUGAGAUGAAAUAAGAGAAUUUGCAGAGUUGGAGUUUAACUAAAUGCAAUGGUGAUGAUGAAGAUGUGUAGUUUAACUAACUCGGUGUAGUGUUGUGACGUUUCACGUUUGGUUUCAAUGCAAGUGUAGUGUAGAGUCGCAAGUGUAAUGAUUAUUAUUAGAGACUUUUUCAAUCGAUUAAUUACUUCAUUAAUUACUCUAUCCUCUGUCCAUCAAUACCAUUAAUUACUGGAUUUUUCUAAAAAUUUUUAAUGAUCUCUUUUAUUGCUUGCUCAGUAAAUAAUUCAUAAUCCUACCAUAAAAAGUAAAUAAUCCAUAAUAUUAUAUUUAUUUUCAAAAUAUAAAACAAUAUAAUACCUAAUUUUUUUAAUUUUUACAUAGUUCCAUAUAUUUACACUAUAAAUUCAAUAUAAUUUUACUUAGUUUCAUAAAUUUAGACAAUUAAUAUCAGUUAGUUUCACUUAAAUUGUCAGAAGCGUGCGUGAGAAGUCGUGUAGCGUUGCAAAUAUCAAGGGUCACGACGCUAUGGUCAUAAAUCAGGUCAUAAAUCAUGAAAUGACAGAUUUUUCUCAAACUAAAUAUUUCAAUUAUUAUUUCUUAUAAUUUUUGUUAUCAUUAAAUAAUCCACUCCGUAUAAUUAAUUUUUCGAUUCUGCUUCUAUUUAGAGUUUUGCAAAAUAUAAAACAAUAGAAUAUCUAAAUUUGUUAAUUCUUACAUAGUUCUAUAUAACUACACUAAAUUUUUCUUAGUUUCAUAAAUUUAGACAAUCAUAAAUCACUUAGUUUCACUAAAUUUUUCCUUGACAUACGACUGUUCUUAUUCCCUGUACUUGCAGUGAGAAGUCGUGUCUUAAGCCGUCUAUCAAAUCACACCCUUAAGUGGGAUAGUAAAUGCAAUCUUAUCUCUAUUAUAAAUAACACGUAAAUCUUUCCAUUUACUCGAUUAAACGAAUAUCUCUCAAGUUUUUCAUCAUCCUUGUACUCUAUGUCGAACUUCAACUUGGAAUCUGUCCCUCCUUCCAUCCUCCAUAAGAUUCUCUCAAAGGUAGCAACAAACCACAUCCGGGACUUCGGUAGUGCUAGAAUUGCUUUCUUCGGGUUCAAUCAAAUAGGCAGAGACGACUACUUCUACCAAUCUGCUAAUCUCAUUGGCUUUAAUGAUUGGAUUGAUGAGGUUAAUGCUGUAAGAACAUUCCGACUUAGGUGCUACCAAGCCGGUAAUCCAGAGGCCAUCUACCUACGAGGUAUGCAUGAGUUCUUUCAACUUCAUUUACUUGAUGAAGGAAGAGAGAAAAUCCAUCUUGCUGCUGAGAGAGGAUUGGAGUUGGCCAAGUUUGUAGAUGGAAUGCUGAACUUAGCGUUUAGUGUAGAUGAUGGAGGGUUGUUUCACAAAUAUCCUAACUUUAGUCGUGAGUUUGUUCAUCGGAUGAAUUGCAUGAUCCAGACUGAUCUACCCUCAGGCCAUUGGGGUUACGACAAACCUCAAGAGUUUAUGUCACUACUUGAAAGAAUAAAGAAUCCCAUCUUCUCAAAUGAUUGCUAGUGCUCCGCAAUAGAAGAACCGGUGUUUGUAGUCUCCUAUAAUGGAUCAAUAACACAGUGGAAGUGCGAUCGUUGUUUCUGGCAAUGUGAAGUUUGAGACUUCUGCAAUGAAAUUCACUUGACAGCUGCCUACUGGCCAAUUGAAGAUUAGUUGUGGUGUUUAUU